GACGAACCGUGCGAACGUUAUUCGGAAUCACUGGGCUUAAAGCGCGUGUAGGCGGGACGGCACGUCUGUCGCUGAAAUCCCCCGGCUUAACCGGGGAACUGGCGGAGAUACGACCGUCCUGGAGGGGCGUAGGGGGACCUGGAACUUCCGGUGGAGCGGUGAAAUGCGUAGAUAUCGUAAGGAAGACCAGUGGCGAAGGCGGGUCUCUGGACAGUUCCUGACGCUGAGGCACGAAGGCCAGGGGAGCAAACGGG
rnacentral:rRNA from 1 species